rnacentral:tRNA from 1 species
CAUGUGAUAGUUUAAUAAAAAUAUUAGCAUUGGAAGCUAAAGAUCAGAUUUGAAUUCUGUCACUUGA